CACUUGCUUUAUGUUAAUCGUCAUUCCAGACGCGCAUUCUAGUCCAAUGCUAAACCAAUCGCGAUCCUCAAAUCCGACAAGUACCCUACGUAGUGUGUACUCAUCAGUGUGCACGUUUUCUAUUGGCGCGUUCAGCUGCCGACCAAUCAGAGUGUGUUUUUCAACGACUAAAGGUGGCCAUAUUUUAUUUUAUCCCACCUGGGUUUUGCUUCAAACAGCUGUGUUUUGCUACGCCGCUAAAAUAUUUCAUAAAAUACCCUAUAUUUAGUGUUUAUUACAUCAUGCCGUAUUAUCAGACGUGGGAAGAGUUUGCGCGAGCUGCAGAAAAACUUUAUUUGACGGAUCCGAUGAAGGUCAGAGUGGUUCUGAAAUAUCGACACUGUGAUGGAAACAUCUGUAUGAAAGUCACAGAUGAUGCUGUGUGUCUGCAGUACAAAACUGACCAGGCUCAAGAUGUGAAGAAGAUCGAGAAACUGCAUGGGAAGCUGAUGAGAUUAAUGGUCUCCAAAGAGUCCCACAGUGGAGCCAUGGAAACAGACUGAAUGAAUCAAAUGAGCUGUUGAGAUUGGACAGUUGUUUGUUACUCAAUCCGACUGACAAUGAAGAGAAAAGGAUCCACUGGAGGAUGGAGAUGAAGUUUGGUUGAUGUUUAUUGACUGUAAUACUGAGAAUGUUGAAGAUUAUGCUCGUUUGGAGAGCAAGCAGCAACAGCAUCCUACAAAAGGCUGAUUUUUGUGUUCCUGUUUGGAGGUCAGACAACGUUGUAAUGAUUAAAAAAAGCCGUGUUCAUAUGGUCUGCCUAUUAUUUAAUGUUUGGAGAAAGUACGUUUUAACUGCAACAAAAUCAAGGGAAUACUUUUUGAAGCAGGACCUUCUUAAUUUCUUAGAUUACAGUAAAAUCUCAGUCCUGGAGUUUGUAUAUCUAUGCAUGAUGUACACUGAACCUUAAUAAAUCAGUUUUUUUUCUCAACUUUCUCUCUACUUUCUCUUCAAGUAUUACUGUCUGCAAACAUUUAACGAGUGCCUUUAAAAGUC
ensembl:lncRNA